rnacentral:rRNA from 1 species
UACGAAGGGGGCUAGCGUUGUUCGGAAUCACUGGGCGUAAAGCGCACGCAGGCGGAUCGUUAAGUCAGGGGUGAAAUCCCGAGGCUCAACCUCGGAACUGCCUUUGAUACUGGCGAUCUUUGAGUCCGGGAGAGGUGAGUGGAACUCCGAGUGUAGAGGUGAAAUUCGUAGAUAGUUCGGAAGAACACCAGUGGCGAAGGCGGCUCACUGGCCCGGUACUGACGCUCAUGUGCGAAAGCGUGGGGAGCAAACAGG